AUCUUGCUUUAACUCGCUGAAGCCAAGCAAGUUUACGAACAAUGUAAUGCCAUACAUAUGAAUUGCUGUGUGUAGUCUUUGCCCAUCUUUAAGAUGGGCUUUUUUUUAU
rnacentral:other from 2 species